rnacentral:rRNA from 1 species
GUAUAAGAGACAGCAGCAGCCACGGGAAUACGUAGGGUGCAAGCGUUAAUCGGAAUUAUUGGGCGUAAAGCGAGUGCAGACGGUUACUUAAGCCAGAUGUGAAAUCCCCAAGCUUAACUUGGGACGUGCAUUUGAAACUGGGUGACUAGAGUGUGUCAGAGGGAGGUAGAAUUCCACAUGUAGCGGUGGAAUGCGUAGAGAUGUGGAGGAAUACCGAUGGCGAAGGCAGCCUCCUGGGAUAACACUGACGUUGAGGCGCGAAAGCGUGGGGAGCGAACAGGAUUAGAUACCCCUGUAGUCCCUGUCUCUUAUAC